UACGUAGGUGGCAAGCGUUGUCCGGAAUUAUUGGGCGUAAAGCGCGCGCAGGUGGUUCCUUAAGUCUGAUGUGAAAGCCCACGGCUCAACCGUGGAGGGUCAUUGGAAACUGGGGAACUUGAGUGCAGAAGAGGAAAGUGGAAUUCCAAGUGUAGCGGUGAAAUGCGUAGAGAUUUGGAGGAACACCAGUGGCGAAGGCGACUUUCUGGUCUGUAACUGACACUGAGGCGCGAAAAGCGUUGGGGAGCAAACAGGG
rnacentral:rRNA from 1 species